rfam:Catenaria anguillulae PL171 BCR44scaffold_11, whole genome shotgun sequence.
GUUCAAGUGGCCGAGCGGUCUAAGGCGGCAGCUUCAGGUGCUGUUCUCUUCGGAGGCGCAGGUUCGAACCCUGCCUUGGACA